rnacentral:rRNA from 1 species
AAAUUGAAGAGUUCGAUCCUGGCGCAGAUUGAACGCUGGCGGCAGGCCUAACACAUGCAAGUGGCACG